CGGUGUUUAACUGGCGUGAUGUGGGACGUCCUACCGGUGGGCUUAGCCUCGCGAGGGGCGGCCCAACUAAUAUCCCGUCGCGGUGCUCUUUACUGAGUGUCGAGUCGGGCCGGUACGUUUACUUUGAACAAAUUAGAGUGCUUAAAGCAGGCUAUCCUCGCCUGAAUACUGCGUGCAUGGAAUAAUGGAAUAGGACCUCGGUUCUAUUUUGUUGGUUUUCGGAACCCCGAGGUAAUGAUUAAUAGGGACAGAUGGGGGCAUUCGUAUUGCGACGUUAGAGGUGAAAUUCUUGGAUCGUCGCAAGACGGACAGAAGCGAAAGCAUUUGCCAAAAAUGUUUUCAUUAAUCAAGAACGAAAGUUAGAGGUUCGAAGGCGAUCAGAUACUGCCCUAGUUCUAACCAUAAACGAUGCCAGCUAGCGAUCCGCCGAAGUUCCUCCGAUGACUCGGCGGGCAGCUUCCGGGAAACCAAAGCUUUUGGGUUCCGGGGGAAGUAUGGUUGCAAAGCUGAAACUUAAAGGAAUUGACGGAAGGGCACCACCAGGAGUGGAGCCUGCGGCUUAAUUUGACUCAACACGGGAAACCUCACCAGGCCCAGACACCGGAAGGAUUGACAGAUUGAUAGCUCUUUCUUGAUUCGGUGGGUGGUGGUGCAUGGGCCGUUCUUAGUUGGUGGAGCGAUUUGUCUGGUUAAUUCCGAUAACGAACGAGACUCUAGCCUGCUAAAUAGGCGUACCUUAUGGUAUCGCGAAGGCCCCCGGCUUCGGCCGGUGGGUUUUUACUACCAACGUACAAACAAAUCUUCUUAGAGGGACAGGCGG
rnacentral:rRNA from 1 species